GUCUGGAUAGCUCAGUUGGUUAAAGUGUGGUGUUGAACAUGCCAAGGUUGCAGGCUCAAUCCCCGUAUGGGACA
rnacentral:tRNA from 1 species